rnacentral:rRNA from 1 species
CCCUAGCGACAGGGAUAACGGUUGGAAACGACUGCUAAUACUGGAUAGUAUAUCGGACCGCAUGAAUCUGAUAUUUAAAAGCUGUGAAAGCGCGCUAGGAUGGCCCUGCGGCGCAUUAGAUAGUGGUGAGGUAACGGCCCACCAAGUCUGUGAUGCGUAGCUGCACUGAGAGGUGAAACAGCCACAUUGGGACUGAGACACGGCCCAAACUCCUACGGGGAGGCAGCAGGUAGGGAAUUUUCGGCAAUGGGCGAAAGCCUGACCGAGCAAUGGGUGCGUGAACGAUGAAGAUCCUUGGAUUGUAAAGUUCUUUUAUUGGGGAUGAAAAAACGUGAAGAGCGUAAUUGACAGUACCCAUUGAAUAAGCCCCGGCCAACUAUGUGCCAGCCGCGGC